rnacentral:rRNA from 1 species
CCGUACACAAAAAUGCACAUAUUGUGAGCUCGAUGAGUAGGGCGGGACACGUGGUAUCCUGUCUGAAUAUGGGGGGACCAUCCUCCAAGGCUAAAUACUCCUGACUGACCGAUAGUGAACCAGUACCGUGAGGGAAAGGCGAAAAGAACCCCGGCGAGGGGAGUGAAAAAGAACCUGAAACCGUGUACGUACAAGCAGUGGGAGCCUCUUAAUGGGGUGACUGCGUACCUUUUGUAUAAUGGGUCAGCGACUUAUAUUCUGUAGCAAGGUUAACCGAAUAGGGGAGCCGAAGGGAAACCGAGUCUUAACUGGGCGUUAAGUUGCAGGGUAUAGACCCGAAACCCGGUGAUCUAGCCAUGGGCAGGUUGAAGGUUGGGUAACACUAACUGGAGGACCGAACCGACUAAUGUUGAAAAAUUAGCGGAUGACUUGUGGCUGGGGGUGAAAGGCCAAUCAAACCGGGAGAUAGCUGGUUCUCCCCGAAAGCUAUUUAGGUAGCGCCUCGUGAAUUCAUCUCCGGGGGUAGAGCACUGUUUCGGCAAGGGGGUCAUCCCGACUUACCAACCCGAUGCAAACUGCGAAUACCGGAGAAUGUUAUCACGGGAGACACACGGCGGGUGCUAACGUCCGUCGUGAAGAGGGAAACAACCCAGACCGCCAGCUAAGGUCCCAAAGUCAUGGUUAAGUGGGAAACGAUGUGGGAAGGCCCAGACAGCCAGGAUGUUGGCUUAGAAGCAGCCAUCAUUUAAAGAAAGCGUAAUAGCUCACUGGUCGAGUCGGCCUGCGCGGAAGAUGUAACGGGGCUAAACCAUGCACCGAAGCUGCGGCAGCGACACUAUGUGUUGUUGGGUAGGGGAGCGUUCUGUAAGCCUGUGAAGGUGGCCUGUGAGGGUUGCUGGAGGUAUCAGAAGUGCGAAUGCUGACAUAAGUAACGAUAAAGCGGGUGAAAAGCCCGCUCGCCGGAAGACCAAGGGUUCCUGUCCAACGUUAAUCGGGGCAGGGUGAGUCGACCCCUAAGGCGAGGCCGAAAGGCGUAGUCGAUGGGAAACAGGUUAAUAUUCCUGUACUUGGUGUUACUGCGAAGGGGGGACGGAGAAGGCUAUGUUGGCCGGGCGACGGUUGUCCCGGUUUAAGCGUGUAGGCUGGUUUUCCAGGCAAAUCCGGAAAACCAAGGCUGAGGCGUGAUGACGAGGCACUACGGUGCUGAAGCGACAAAUGCCCUGCUUCCAGGAAAAGCCUCUAAGCAUCAGGUAACAUCAAAUCGUACCCCAAACCGACACAGGUGGUCAGGUAGAGAAUACCAAGGCGCUUGAGAGAACUCGGGUGAAGGAACUAGGCAAAAUGGUGCCGUAACUUCGGGAGAAGGCACGCUGAUAUGUAGGUGAAGCGACUUGCUCGUGGAGCUGAAAUCAGUCGAAGAUACCAGCUGGCUGCAACUGUUUAUUAAAAACACAGCACUGUGCAAACACGAAAGUGGACGUAUACGGUGUGACGCCUGCCCGGUGCCGGAAGGUUAAUUGAUGGGGUUAGCGGCAACGCGAAGCUCUUGAUCGAAGCCCCGGUAAACGGCGGCCGUAACUAUAACGGUCCUAAGGUAGCGAAAUUCCUUGUCGGGUAAGUUCCGACCUGCACGAAUGGCGUAAUGAUGGCCAGGCUGUCUCCACCCGAGACUCAGUGAAAUUGAACUCGCUGUGAAGAUGCAGUGUACCCGCGGCAAGACGGAAAGACCCCGUGAACCUUUACUAUAGCUUGACACUGAACAUUGAGCCUUGAUGUGUAGGAUAGGUGGGAGGCUUUGAAGUGUGGACGCCAGUCUGCAUGGAGCCGACCUUGAAAUACCACCCUUUAAUGUUUGAUGUUCUAACGUUGGCCCGUAAUCCGGGUUGCGGACAGUGUCUGGUGGGUAGUUUGACUGGGGCGGUCUCCUCCUAAAGAGUAACGGAGGAGCACGAAGGUUGGCUAAUCCUGGUCGGACAUCAGGAGGUUAGUGCAAUGGCAUAAGCCAGCUUGACUGCGAGCGUGACGGCGCGAGCAGGUGCGAAAGCAGGUCAUAGUGAUCCGGUGGUUCUGAAUGGAAGGGCCAUCGCUCAACGGAUAAAAGGUACUCCGGGGAUAACAGGCUGAUACCGCCCAAGAGUUCAUAUCGACGGCGGUGUUUGGCACCUCGAUGUCGGCUCAUCACAUCCUGGGGCUGAAGUAGGUCCCAAGGGUAUGGCUGUUCGCCAUUUAAAGUGGUACGCGAGCUGGGUUUAGAACGUCGUGAGACAGUUCGGUCCCUAUCUGCCGUGGGCGCUGGAGAACUGAGGGGGGCUGCUCCUAGUACGAGAGGACCGGAGUGGACGCAUCACUGGUGUUCGGGUUGUCAUGCCAAUGGCACUGCCCGGUAGCUAAAUGCGGAAGAGAUAAGUGCUGAAAGCAUCUAAGCACGAAACUUGCCCCGAGAUGAGUUCUCCCUGACUCCUUGAGAGUCCUGAAGGAACGUUGAAGACGACGACGUUGAUAGGCCGGGUGUGUAAGCGCAGCGAUGCGUUGAGCUAACCGGUACUAAUGAACCGUGAGGCUUAACCUUACAACGCCGAAG